rnacentral:rRNA from 1 species
AGACCUUUAGUUUGAACCCCGAAACCAGGUGAGCUACCCCGAGACAGCCUAUAUUGAUUUAGGGCUAACCCGUCUCUGUGGCAAAAGAGUGGGAAGAGCUCCGGGUAGAAGUGACAGACCUACCGAACCUGGUGAUAGCUGGUUGCCUGAGAAGUGGAUAGAAGUUCAGCCUCGCACACCCCAAGCCAGAGAAUACACCGCUAAGGCACUCAGGGAAAUGUGGGAGAGUUAGUUAAAGGGGGUACAGCCCCUUUAACAAAGGAUACAACCUUUGCAGGAGGAUAAAGAUCAUAAUAUAUAAAACAUGCUGCUCUAGUGGGCCUAAAGGCAGCCACCUAAACAGAAAGCGUUAAAGCUCAGGCAGAAAGAAGUUUAUUAUACCGAUAAAAAAUCUUACUCCCCUAAUUAUAUCAGGCCAACCCAUGCCAACAUGGAAGAGAUUAUGCUAAAAUGAGUAACAAGAAGACCUGCUCUUCUCCCAGCACAAGUGUAAGCCAGAUCGGACCAACCGCUGGAACUUAACGAACCCAACCCAAGAGGGUAGUGUGAAUAGUACAGACCCCAAGAAGAACUCACAACUAAACAAUCGUUAACCCCACACUGGAGUGCUAUUAUAAAGGAAAGACUAAAAGAGGGGGAAGGAACUCGGCAAACACAAGCCUCGCCUGUUUACCAAAAACAUCGCCUCCUGCAACUAUAUUGAGUAUAGGAGGUCCAGCCUGCCCAGUGACUACGGGUUCAACGGCCGCGGUAUUUUGACCGUGCAAAGGUAGCGCAAUCACUUGUCUCUUAAAUAGAGACCUGUAUGAAUGGCUAGACGAGGGCUUAACUGUCUCCCCCCUCCAGUCAGUGAAAUUGAUCUAUCCGUGCAGAAGCGGGUAUAAUUAUACAAGACGAGAAGACCCUUUGGAGCUUAAGGUACAAAAUCCAACCACGUUAAACGACCCCCUAAAGGGCAAGAACUUAGUGGCCAAUGAAGUUUUACCUUCGGUUGGGGCGACCACGGAGGAGAAAAAAGCCUCCGAGUGGACUGGGUUAAAACCCAAAGCUAAGAGAUACAUCUCUAAGCCGCAGAACAUCUGACCAAAAGUGAUCCGGCUAAAAAGCCGAUCAACGAACCAAGUUACCCUAGGGAUAACAGCGCAAUCCUCUCCCAGAGUCCAUAUCGACGAGGGGGUUUACGACCUCGAUGUUGGAUCAGGACAUCCUAAUGGUGCAGCCGCUAUUAAGGGU